rnacentral:rRNA from 1 species
AGAGAUGGGCAUGCGUAACAUUAGCUGGUUGGUGAGGUAACAGCUCACCAAGGCUACGAUGUUUAGGGGGUCUGAGAGGAUGGUCCCCCACACUGGUACUGAGACACGGACCAGACUCCUACGGGAGGCAGCAGUGAGGAAUAUUGGUCAAUGGGCGAAAGCCUGAACCAGCCAUGCCGCGUGAAGGAUGACGGCCCUAUGGGUCGUAAACUUCUUUUAUACGGGAAGAAACCCCUCUACGUGUAGGGGGCUGACGGUACCGUACGAAUAAGCAUCGGCUAACUCCGUGCCAGCAGCCGCGGUAAUACGGAGGAUGCAAGCGUUAUCCGGAUUUAUUGGGUUUAAAGGGUGCGUAGGCGGAAAAUUAAGUCAGUGGUGAAAUCCUGCAGCUUAACUGUAGAAUUGUCAUUGAUACUGGUUUUCUUGAAUACAGUUGAGGUAGGCGGAAUGAGUAAUGUAGCGGUGAAAUGCUUAGAUAUUACUCAGAACACCAAUUGCGAAGGCAGCUUACUAAACUGUGAUUGACGCUGAGGCACGAAAGCGUGGGGAGCGAACAGGAUUAGAUACCCUGGUAGUCCACGCCGUAAACGAUGAUCACUCGUUGUUGGCAAUACACCGUCAGCGACUGAGCGAAAGUAUUAAGUGAUCCACCUGGGGAGUACGAUUGCAAGAUUGAAACUCAAAGGAAUUGACGGGGGCCCGCACAAGCGGAGGAACAUGUGGUUUAAUUCGAUGAUACGCGAGGAACCUUACCUGGGCUUAAAUGCAUAACGACGGAUCGGGAAACUGGUCUUUCUUCGGACGGAAUGCAAGGUGCUGCAUGGCUGUCGUCAGCUCGUGCCGUGAGGUGUCGGGUUAAGUCCCAUAACGAGCGCAACCCUCAUCAUUAGUUGCCAGCGGGUAAUGCCGGGGACUCUAAUGAAACUGCCGGUGUAAACCGAGAGGAAGGCGAGGAUGACGUCAAGUCAGCACGGCCCUUAUGUCCAGGGCUACACACGUGUUACAAUGGUCAGUACAAAGGGCAGCUACCAGGCAACUGGAUGCUAAUCUCAAAAGCUGGUCACAGUUCGGAUCGGAGUCUGCAACUCGACUUCGUGAAGUUGGAUUCGCUAGUAAUCGCGCAUCAGCCAUGGCGCGGUGAAUACGUUCCCGGGCCUUGUACACACCGCCCGUCAAGCCAUGGAAGCCGGGGGUACCUGAAGUUCGUAACCGAGAGGAUCGACACUAGGGUAAAA